UUAAAUUGAAGAGUUUGAUCAUGGCUCAGAUUGAACGCUGGCGGCAGGCCUAACACAUGCAAGUCGAGCGGUAGCACAGAGAGCUUGCUCUCGGGUGACGAGCGGCGGACGGGUGAGUAAUGUCUGGGAAACUGCCUGAUGGAGGGGGAUAACUACUGGAAACGGUAGCUAAUACCGCAUAACGUCGCAAGACCAA
rnacentral:rRNA from 1 species